GAGUUUGAUCGUGGCUCAGGAUGGACGCUGGCGGCGUGCCUAAUACAUGCAAGUCGAGCGAACGGACGAGAAGCUUGCUUCUCUGAUGUUAGCGGCGGACGGGUGAGUAACACGUGGAUAACCUACCUAUAAGACUGGGAUAACUUCGGGAAACCGGAGCUAAUACCGGAUAAUAUUUUGAACCGCAUGGUUCAAAAGUGAAAGACGGUCUUGCUGUCACUUAUAGAUGGAUCCGCGCUGCAUUAGCUAGUUGGUAAGGUAACGGCUUACCAAGGCAACGAUGCAUAGCCGACCUGAGAGGGUGAUCGGCCACACUGGAACUGAGACACGGUCCAGACUCCUACGGGAGGCAGCAGUAGGGAAUCUUCCGCAGUGGGCGAAAGCCUGACGGAGCAACGCCGCGUGAGUGAUGAAGGUCUUCGGAUCGUAAAACUCUGUUAUUAGGGAAGAACAUAUGUGUAAGUAACUGUGCACAUCUUGACGGUACCUAAUCAGAAGGCCACGGCUAACUACGU
rnacentral:rRNA from 1 species